ACUGCUCAGUAACACGUGGACAACCUGCCCUUAGGUUGGGUAUAAACCCGGGAAACUGGGUAUAAUACCCGAUAGGUCUCGAUUGCUGGAAUGCAUCGAGAUUUAAAGCUCCGGCGCCUAAGGAUGGGUCUGCGGCCUAUCAGGUAGUAGUGGGUGUAGCGUACCUACUAGCCUACGACGGGUACGGGUUGUGAGAGCAAGAGCCCGGAGAUGGAUUCUGAGACACGAAUCCAGGCCCUACGGGGUGCAGCAGGCGCGAAAACUUUACAAUGCUGGCAACAGCGAUAAGGGAACCUCGAGUGCCAGGUUACAAAUCUGGCUGUCGAGAUGCCUAAAAAGCAUUUCAUAGCAAGGGCCGGGCAAGACCGGUGCCAGCCGCCGCGGUAACACCGGCGGCUCGAGUGGUAACCGUUAUUAUUGGGUCUAAAGGGUCUGUAGCCGGCCGGAUAAGUCUCUUGAGAAAUCUGGCAGCUUAACUGUCAGGCUUUCAGGAGAUACUGUCUGGCUCGAGGCCGGGAGAGGUGAGAGGUACUUCAGGGGUAGGGGUGAAAUCUUGUAAUCCUUGAAGGACCACCAGUGGCGAAGGCGUCUCACCAGAACGGACCUGACGGCAAGGGACGAAAGCUAGGGGCACGAACCGGAUUAGAUACCCGGGUAGUCCUAGCCGUAAACGAUACUCGCUAGGUGUCGGCCACGGUGCGACCGUUGUCGGUGCCGUAGGGAAGCCGUGAAGCGAUCCACCUGGGAAGUACGGCCGCAAGGCUGAAACUUAAAGGAAUUGGCGGGGGAGCAC
rnacentral:rRNA from 1 species